AGAGAGAAGAGGAGGAGGAGAAGGAGGGUAAGAAGAAGAACAAGGAGAACAAGAAGAACAUUUACUUCGUGAACUAUACGAGGGGAAAUUGGUGUAACUGUAAGUUGUUUGCGAAAGGUUUGUGUCUGUGUGUGUGUUUUUAAGAGAGAUGAGGAGGAGAAGGAGGAGAAAAAGAAGAACAAGAGGAUCAUUUACUAGAACAAGAACGCGAAGAAGAGGAGGAAGAAUAGCAAGAACGAGAGGAAAAGGAAACGAGAGUAAAAACACGGAAAAAAAGAAGAAGAAGAACAAAAUCAAGAAGAACAAUUACUAGAACACGAACGCGGAGAACAAGAAUAACAAGAACGCGAAAAAGAAGAAAGAAGAACAAGAACAAGAAUAAAAAGAAAAGGAAGAAGAAGAAAAGAAAGAACAAAAUCAAAUAAGAACAAGAAGAACAAGAAAGAGAAGAAAAAAAAAUACAAGAACAAAACCA